UACGGAGGGUGCAAACGUUGCUCGGAAUCAUUGGGCGUAAAGCGCACGUAGGCGGUUCGUUAAGUCGGCUGUGAAAGUCCAAGGCUCAACCUUGGGAUGCCGGUCGAUACUGCCGGACUAGAGUUCGGAAGAGGCGAGUGGAAUUCCCGGUGUAGCGGUGAAAUGCGCAGAUAUCGGGAGGAACACCUAUGGCGAAGGCAGCUCGCUGGGACGUUACUGACGCUGAGACGCGAAAGCGUGGGGAGCAAACAGG
rnacentral:rRNA from 1 species